UCAGUAAGCAGAAUCUCAAACUUUAUUUUUAAAUAAAGUGUUACCACAAGAGUGACUGACUGAGUGACCAUGAACAUGUUUAGCUCAGCUGGAUAUUCAACAGCUAACAAGAAAUGUUGUCAGGGAACCAAGUGAGAUUAUGUGAUAAAACAUUUCCACAUGGCCAGGGAUUCCAAGCAUCAGUUUCCACAUUGCAGACUAAGCUUUGCUACUAAAACUCUUACUGCAGCACCUUUUAAUCUAUGCAGAUUUUAAGUAGGGGGAAAUUGAGAGGCUUGUCACUGGGAGUUGUCCAGCACAGACACACACUAACCUUUAGCACACCAGGUUGUUUUCUUAGAGAGCUGAAUUUGCCAGGCUUAAAAUUAUCCUGGAGUACAAAAUCACCAUGUGCACUAUUUUGAGAAAACAAACCACACAAAUUAACAUUGAGAUGGUAUGCUACUUUAAUAAUUAAACAUGAUUUCAGACAUGAACACUCUCCACACCAAGGGUUUAGAACAUUAGUGCUCAGCCAAAAUUUGAAUUGCGACAUUUAAUCAAAAUGGCCAACAAAAUGAAGCGAUUGCAUUCUAUCUGCAGCACUGGUGGCUCUGUUCUAAACCACCAACCUUCACACAAAUAAGUCUACUUUUGGAAUAGUAAAGCUGCCACUUUUUUGUCAACUUCCAGCUUGAGAAUUCAAAUAAAUCAGAGGAUAUAGUUACAUCCGAAAUUGGAUUUGCACCAUGGAGCACAAAUUUAUUAACUGAGAAUGUAGAAGUGGAUAAAGCAUAAGUGUUGAAUUUAUUGGAUGCCUUUUAUGGGAAAAUGGCAAAAAGUAGCAGCUCCACCAAGUAGACAGCAGCAAAGAGUUCAGAUCAAUGAAAAUCAUCUGCAUCAACAGUGGCAUUGAUUCAAAAAUAUCAACAUACAUCUUACAACUUUUCACUUCCACAAUGAUUAACCUCUGCCUCAAAUACCUAGGCCCUAGAAAAUACUACCUUC